rnacentral:ncRNA from 1 species
CGAAGCUCCGGAAAGUGGGGGGGAGACCCCCACGCCGAAGGUGCAACCGGAAUAGUUUUCCGGGAAUCUCUCAGGCAAAGAACGGAGGCG